AUGGGCACGCUAUCGGAGUACUGGGCGUAAGCGUGCGCAGGCGGUUUUGUAAGUCUGUCGUGAAAGCCCCGGGCUUAACCUGGGAAUUGCGAUGGAGACUGCAAGGCUUGAAUCUGGCAGAGGGGGGUAGAAUUCCACGUGUAGCAGUGAAAUGCGUAGAGAUGUGGAGGAACACCGAUGGCGAAGGCAGCCCCCUGGGUCAAGAUUGACGCUCAUGCACGAAAGCGUGGGGAGCAAACAGGAUUAGAUACCCUGGUAGUCCACGCCCUAAACGAUGUCUACUAGUUGUCGGGUCUUAAUUGACUUGGUAACGCAGCUAACGCGUGAAGUAGACCGCCUGGGGAGUACGGUCGCAAGAUUAAAACUCAAAGGAAUUGACGGGGACCCGCACAAGCGGUGGAUGAUGUGGAUUAAUUCGAUGCAACGCGAAAAACCUUACCUACCCUUGACAUGUCAGGAACCUCCGAGAGAUUGGAGGGUGCCCGAAAGGGAGCCUGAACACAGGUGCUGCAUGGCUGUCGUCAGCUCGUGUCGUGAGAUGUUGGGUUAAGUCCCGCAACGAGCGCAACCCUUGUCAUUAGUUGCUACGAAAGGGCACUCUAAUGAGACUGCCGGUGACAAACCGGAGGAAGGUGGGGAUGACGUCAAGUCCUCAUGGCCCUUAUGGGUAGGGCUUCACACGUCAUACAAUGGUACAUACAGAGGGCCGCCAACCCGCGAGGGGGAGCUAAUCCCAGAAAGUGUAUCGUAGUCCGGAUCGCAGUCUGCAACUCGACUGCGUGAAGUUGGAAUCGCUAGCAAUCGCGGAUCAGCAUGUCGCGGUGAAUACGUUCCCGGGUCUUGUACACACCGCCCGUCACACCAUGGGAGCGGGUUUUACCAGAAGUAGGUAGCUUAACCCGCAAGGAGGGCGCUUACCACGGUAGGAUUCGUGACUGGGGUG
rnacentral:rRNA from 1 species